UUAUCAACCGCCUCUUUCUCUCUCUAUUCUUUUCCUUCACUGCUUCACACCGAAACCCUAGCCUCCGUGUUCCUUUGGCUUGAAGCUUCUACAUCUCAUUUUCUCUGAAAACAUACGCUUGUGCUUGAAUCGACUGAUAAGGGAGACACGCUUUGCCCUUUCCAAUUCCUGCUCUCAAACCCUACUGUCCGAAUACACAUCUUCCCCUUCACGUUUCCUGCCGAUCAAUCGAUUUAUCAAUCCUAUAAUAUACUAAUCUCAUCAAUGUUGAAAGCCAUCAUCAAUUUGGCGUAGAUGGGUAUUCAAGAAAAUAAAGGCAUAAGUGGGAGUUUGGGUUCGUUUCUUACUCGCAGAUGCUUUGGUUGUCUUAUGAGGGGCUACUUAGAAGGUUUUGGUGUGUGCUGCCUCCUUUAGAAGAAGAGGAUGUUCCUCAACUAUACCCAAAAGGGUCAAAUCUUGGUGAGUGAGCUUGAGAAACAGUUGAAAAUGGAGAUAAAAUCAAGAAACAGAGCCAGAGCCAGAGUCUAAAAGAUCUGGUAAAAGACAUAAUUUCUCUUUAGAUGAUGGUAAUUUAGGGUCUUUUAAUGAGGAUAUUUUUUGAGUAGUCUAAUGAGAAUAAGAGUUAGAAAGAAAGAUGGAGCUGGAGAUCUUUUAAAAAAGAAGAUGACAAUGGCUAGAUUUUAUGUAUUUUGGUUCCAGCGGAAUGAAAUGGUCAAGACCGGGUUCUCCGGGUUCGGAGGAACCCGACUUUGUAGUGGGGCUACUUCAACUUCAAAGAUGAAACAAGGGUUACUAAAUAAAGUUCAAUAAGCAAUCCCAAACACCCCUCUAAAAGUAACUUAUUUAGUUAAUGCUUAAAAGUCAAAUGUGGUCAUGAUUUGUUCUUUUGAUGUUUUCUUUUCGUAUAUGCUCAGGCAUGAUUUUACUUUCAACAACUUAUAUCAUGAGUUAGUUACUGUCAUUCAAUGUUAUACAAUCUUUUUGUUCAGU
rnacentral:lncRNA from 1 species